AGGAAAGGGAGGGAUUCGAACCCCUCGGUAA
rnacentral:tRNA from 3 species